rnacentral:rRNA from 2 species
GGGUUGUGAGGUUAAGCGACUAAGCGUACACGGUGGAUGCCCUGGCAGUCAGAGGCGAUGAAGGGCGUGCUAAUCUGCGAUAAGCGCCGGUAAGGUGAUAUGAACCGUUAUAACCGGCGAUACCCGAAUGGGGAAACCCAGUGUGACUCGUCACACUAUCAUUAACUGAAUCCAUAGGUUAAUGAGGCGAACCGGGGGAACUGAAACAUCUAAGUACCCCGAGGAAAAGAAAUCAACCGAGAUUCCCCCAGUAGCGGCGAGCGAACGGGGAGGAGCCCAGAGCCUGAAUCAGCAUGUGUGUUAGUGGAAGCGUCUGGAAAGGCGCGCGAUACAGGGUGACAGCCCCGUACACAAAAGCGCAUGUGCUGUGAGCUCGAUGAGUAGGGCGGGACACGUGGUAUCCUGUCUGAAUAUGGGGGGACCAUCCUCCAAGGCUAAAUACUCCUGACUGACCGAUAGUGAACCAGUACCGUGAGGGAAAGGCGAAAAGAACCCCGGCGAGGGGAGUGAAAAAGAACCUGAAACCGUGUACGUACAAGCAGUGGGAGCACAGGUUUACCUGUGUGACUGCGUACCUUUUGUAUAAUGGGUCAGCGACUUAUAUUCUGUAGCAAGGUU